AGCGUGGCUUAGCUUGGCCCACGGCUAAAGCUUUGUCUCCGGCUCAGCGCGGCGCGAAAGCUCAGCGCGCGGCUUGCGGCAUCAGAACGGUAAACGGCAAACGGCAAACGGUUAACGGUAAACAGUAAACAGUACUUACGUAGUCAGCGUUCAACUCAGACCCUAAACGUUGCAUUGCAUUGCGUCGCGUUCUCGUACUUGUAAUCGUACUCGUACUCGAUUUCGGGCAUCGCGCAUCCGGUAAUCGAUUAUCGGUAAUCGAUCAUCUAAUUACGUUCAAAUUAGCGUCAGUGACCAACAAUUUUAUAAUUGAUUAUCGCGCAUUCUGUUGUGUUCUUGUGUUCUGUUUACCUUUUGUUGCGCGUCGUACACAAAACUUACCGAAAGUAAAAAAAAAAA